AAGCAAGCUGCUGAAUCAAUUUAUUUCAUUUUAGCACUCUGGGGAAUACAGUGGGGAGUCAAAAAUAACCAGUCCUCACAAUUGCUACCAGUUAGCAAAGGGCAAAAUCCAAGGGUCCCUCGGACACCAGUGCACCCAGGCAAGACAGUUCACAGUGGGUAAAGCCACUUGCCAAACAGUCUGAUGGCCUCAGUUUAAGCUCCAAAACCCAUUUACUGGGGAGAGAACUGAUUCCUACAAGUUGCUCUCUGACCUCCAUAUAUGUAUGCACCAUUGUCUGUGUGAUAGACAUAUAUCAACAAGAACCAAUCAAUGUAAUUUUUAAAGUAAGCCAUCUUUGUUUCAGAUGUAUAAAUAUCCCAGCUGUGGCCUAUCUCCUCUUCUACGAAGGCCCGCUGCAGCGACUUUCAGGAGUUCUCAUUCGAUGAGCAAAGGAGAGAGAAUGUACAGCAUUUGAACCCCAUUUCCAUACAUGCAGAAUGCCUCAUUGCGUGAGUUGUACUGAGACGUAUUUAUCAAUAUAAAAGCAAAAAUGGCCCGGUACUCAUCUUCCCAGAGUCCUUUGCAACUAAGACAUGAGUACAUGACGCAGCAUUACACCAAGCAGGAAUCUGGAGUCACAGGCUCAGUUUUCCUUGAAAUGAGGCAGUUUGGAACCAGUGGUCAAGAACUUCAUGUGACCAUGGAAAUGCAGACCGAGACAAGCAGAGAUUUAUGCUCAGCUGUGAGCCACCAACACUGCUGAAGAGCUGCACUCCUCAGCACAGGGCACUGCAGCAUCUUCACUUCCAAGGGAAGGGUGCGUAUGGGAUGCUUCUACACUCAUACUGGCUUGUGGACUGUUGCUGCCGCUAUCUCAUCCACACAGACAACACUGGGGUGGUCCAUGUGACAUGGAGUGCCUACUGUCAAUCAUCCAGGGAUGAGGCAGAUCUCAGUAAAUCAGCACUGGCACAGGAAGACAGACUCAAUGAAAACCGGCAAUCAGGCUUUCGAGGAGGGGUUUGAGUUCCUACAGACGACCCAUCAUCCUGUAACCUGUAGAUGCCCUUUCUUGAUGGUUCUGCCAGCAACCAGCUGCAAGUACAGUUCUUUUUUAAAUGACUGAUUCUCCCACAUCUGACUCUUUUAGUUCUGUGCAUUUUCCUUUGUUUUUUCCUACUUGUUAUAUGAUACCAGACACCAUUCUGAUGUUAUUGGACCGACAAUACAUUCACAUUGUGUUAGUUGUCUGAACGCCAUAAAGAUUUUCGGAUAUGGAGCACUACACAAGCCCUAUUAGCCAGGACCCAUUGAGCUUAUCAUCUAAAGCAGGUUCAAAAAAAUUAUACCAGAAGAGCAAGGGCGGCUAGGACCACAUGACCCGCAUGGUCAACCAGUACACUAAAAUACCCACACACCAUUCUCCGCAGCAGAAGCCGGGGAAACUAUUGUAAAGAGCAUAGUGUCUAUCUUGGGGGCUGCGAGGCUCCUGCACAGGCAGGAAAUUCGAAGAGCCACUCUAGAAAGUAAAGAAAAGCUGCAGUCUCUCCACAGUACUGAACGCCAACGGUGUUUCCAGCGGACCCAGCUGACCACUGCCCUGCCCACCCUGGGCUAUACGUGGUUUGUACAUGUAAAGUCUACCCGCGCAUGUCACCGUCUGUCUGUGCUUCUCUUCUGGUUUGUCUGCCACCACCCUGGUCCAGCCUACACUUCCUCCCCAACCUGUGAGCUUUCUUUCUUUCCUCUUCUUUCCUUAUUUUACUCCCAUCGCCGAGUCGCCAAAACCAGACCUCCCGUGAGGAGCUGAAGCCAAGCGAGUGCAUGGUUUUCCAGUUUAUUUUAUGACCUGACUCAAAAGAAUGAAAAAUCUGUUUCCACACAGUAAACAACAUUCAAAAUUCUCUGAACCAAGAUGCCAUAGCCUUUGGGGGGAACAGUACGUAACACCCCUUUCCUGAAACUUCUUUCCCUGUAGAUCUUGGUGAAGGACCAGCUGUAAGUCUUACUCACUGGUGAAUUGUCAGCACCUUGCAGAACACCUAGUACCAAACACCCACUUAACACCCGCUGAGUAAAUGACAAUCGAGGGGCUAUGGCUCAGUAGAGUUUUCCCUUAACUUCAAUUCCUCAAGAUCUUUACCCUGUCUAAUAUCCGAUCUCCCAAAGCAUUCCCAGCUGGAGAGCUGGUUCAGAGGGUAAAAAAACGUUUGGCUUCAAGUGUUGGGACCAAAGUUUGAAAUCCCUGCACACACAUACACACUCACUAACACACACACACACACUAACACACACACACACUUGCGCACGAGCAUGCAAAAGCAACCCCAUUAUGCUAGCUGUUAGAAGACAGUCAAAAUCCCAAAUCGAAUCCCCAUUCACUUGAUAGCCCUGUGACCUUGAUUACGCCGUCUAACUACAUUCUAAGAUUACUUUUCUUAUCAAUAAACGAGAUCCAGCUUGCAAGGCUCUACGGUACUUGUGUGAGAUUUAUAAACAACUUAUGUAAAACCUUGCUGAAUGAAAUUAUCUGCCAUUCUAUUCUGCAUCUCCAGAACAAAAUGUAACUAUCAAAAUCUAAUUUGCCAAAGCUGGAGUUCAUUUAUGGAGCAGAUAUGCAUCAAGCGCUGGCAAUAUACAAUCUGAGUCGGCCUGCUGUUCAACAUGAAAGGAAUAGUUUAACUUCUGCCUUUAAGGGCAGGAAAACAAUUAGUUCACAUGGACAGGAGAAAGUGUAUAAUCUGAUCUUAUUUUCUUUUUAUUGAAGCAUUAAAGGAUUACCCAGUUACAGCAGGCUGGAGUGGUUUUUUUGUUUUUGUUUUGUUGUUUUUUAUAACAGGAAUCAAACAAUGGAGGAAAGCAUCCAAAUAGUGGUUUUUAUAGUCCACAAGUAUUGACAGUUCUGUCUGUCUGUCUGUCGGUCGGUCGGUCGGUCUGUCUGUGCGUGUGUAUGCUUGCGUAUAUGUACAUGUGUGUGACUGUGUGUGUUGCUCAUCAUUGAGGGUCGUCCUCUACCACUCCCCACGUACUUAUUGAGACAGGGUCUCUACUGAAUGUGCAGCUCACUGAUUGGCUAGACUGGCCAGUGAGUUCAGGGGUCCUCCUAGCUCUUCUCCAAGGGCUCAGGUCCACAGGCCUGCACCACCACACCACUUUCAUAUGAGUGCUAAGGGGUCGGAACUUGCUUUUUUCCCCACAGUCAAGGAUGCAUACGUAAGAUAAGGUUUUUGCUUUAAAAGAGCAAAAAUGACGCUGCUGCAGAGUGUUAAAAUAAGAUUUGUUCUACAUAGUGAGUCCAUCCAAUGGUCUGCUUUGUCCAAUAAUCCAUCCUAGAAAAAUCUCAACAUGAAGAAAUGUGAUCUUUGUGCAAACUGAAAUCUAUGGGAGAAAGGAACUUUGGCGCUGGCCGCUGGCAGUUGAGUUGAUUUGCUCAGUUGAGUUGUUUCAUGGUGGGGAAACGGCCAUGUUUUCUGAGGCCCACUCUCACAUUGCUUCUCUCCUUGGGGCCCUCAGCGACCCAUGGGAGUUAGAAGCUUCUUGUCUUCUAUUUCCAGAACCCCUGAGCUCAGAGAGCUAUAUAAAGUCCCCUUCCCCUUCCCCUUCCCCUUCCCCUUCCCCUUCCCCAACGGCAGCACGGACAAGCUAGAGCCCUCCCCUGAGGCUACUUCCUGUCUCGGCUCACUGCCAAUCCCUUGGUAGGUAUAGGAAACUCGACGGUCUCCAAAGCCCCAAGAACACUGAGCAAAGUAGCAUUUUCCAUUCUCAUAAAAGCCACCGCUUCCUGUUCUCCUAGGACAUUCAGAGCAAAAAGCAGAGUCUCAAAGGUGUGCUGUGCUGAGGGAGACAUAGAAGCUAUGAGACAGCCAAAAUUUGGUCUUCAAAACAGCUGGGGGGGGGGGUAAUCCGAGGCACAGCAUGGCACACAACAUUGUUACAUCCCAGCCUAGAAGCUAGUGCCCAUGGACCACUGAAAGGUACAUAAGUAAAAGUGGUUUCCAUCUAGAUAAGGCACUUCUUCCCCUAAAAUCCUAAUGAGCCAGGUAUACAGACCCAUUCCCACAGCCUGAAUCACACAAACUAAUACUGAUCCUACUUGAAAAAUGUAUGACCUCACUUCAUACAUAGUCAUAUAUGUAUGUGUGUCAGGAAUUAAUUGCACUUAGUUUAUCAAUUUCAUGUUUAAAUUACCCCCCACUAUGCACACACUCACACAGUAGUGGACAUGAUACGCUUAAGAAAAUACCAAGAGACAUGAGAGUUUAAUAGGACAGAGAUGGUCUAUUCCUGACUUAGUGCAGAGGGAAUGAGUCUAUGAAUGCUACUUGAUUUGCAGCGGAAUGUCUCACUGAAGAACAUCCUGUGUGCUACUUGUUGGGUGGUCCAUGCUAAACAAAUGUUACUUGGUGUCUGAAUUUGAAACCCAUACUUUAUGGACUUUAUGAAUAAUGGACUCCUAACCUAAUACCUGGCAUUUAAUAGUGGGUACAACAAAUAUUUGCUUACAAAUUCACUGAAAGUUGAGAAAUCAUGCAAGGUCUAUACCACCUUUUACUUCUCUGUCUAAUGCCGAUUGCGAGUUGCUCCAUGAGAAAAUUACGUCGCACCACUCACCAAAUAUUCCUUGGCUGCCAUUGCUUUAUCGCAGACAGCUGGUGUGUUUGGAGAGAGAAAUGCACUGGUAGACUUGUAACAUGUUCAGAAAUACCACUUAGGGUAGCAGAGCGGAAGCACAUGAUGAAGGGACUGCAGAAGAUGCUAAAGAAAUAGACAUGUGCCACACACACACAGUGACCGAGUUCUGACCGCAUACUUAGUCCCGCAAGCCUCCUGGUGAGAAUGUGUCUUGUUAUGGUAAACACGGUAGAGGUUUUAGAAUAUAAAUCCUACUCUCAAUAAAGUAGCAGCUCCCAUAAUUAUUCUUCUUUCUGAAGGCCAGGGCAGCCUUCAAGUAAACAGAGGCUGAGAUCCAACUGUUUCCCUUGCACUAAAAAUGAUAUCAUAGUUAAUGUUUGUUAAAAUGGGCAUUGUUUGUAGCUUCAUGGGAAAUACAGGUUCUUAGACAAUGCGUAGCACAUACUGUUAUAUUAUUAUUAACAUAAAAUAGACAUAUAUGUAUUAAAUAGGAUAGCAGAACAACUUUGUUUUUGCUUCUUUUCAAAGAGCCCAUGGCAACUUUUUUGAGCAUGUCUCCAUCUGUCACCAAGACAGGCUCCUUCUCCAGUAAUUAAGUCAAAUAUUGAAACCAAGAAGACCUUCCUCUGUCUUGGGUUUGUUGUUGUUUUCUUUCUUUGACUCUUUGAGUCUGCUCUACUUAGUCCAGGCUCGGCCUCACUCCCAGACCUCCUGACUCAGCCUCGGACAGAGGACUGGGACUACAGGAAUGCCAUCAUGUUCAACUAGACAAGAAAGGCAUUGAAAACAGAUCUGUGGGCAAGAUGGCUUAGUGGGUAAAGAUGUCUGCCACCAAGUCUGAUGACCUGAGUUCGAUCCCUGAGGUGCACACAACGGAAAGAGAAAACCAACUCUCCGAAGGUGUCCUCUUAGUUCCACAUGUUUCCCACGCACACGCAUUUCCCAGCCCUCCAUCCUGCCACAUACAUAAUAAUAAAAAGUAAUUUUAAAAAUUCCUCAAAAAUAAAAUACAUGUAAUUAACAAAUGCUAUAAAAGAAGAGAUUUGGGUGAUGGUAGUGGUAGUUUGGUUUCUUUUUUUUUUUUUUUUUUUUUGAGACAGGGUUUCUCUGUGUCAUCCUGGAUGUCCUGUAAUUCACUCUGUAGACCUAGCUGGCCUUGAACUCAGAGAUUUACCUGCCUCUGCCUCCUGAGUGCUAGGAUUAAAGGCAUGUGCCAUCCUACAAACCCACUCCCACCACCCAAUCUGAAGGGUUUUUUUUUUUUUAAGUGGGAGGUUUGUUUAGGCUGUUUAAUUCCCCCUAAAAGAACUGGCCAUAUGCUUAAUUACCUCUUAUAGUUUCCAAAGUAGUCUCAAGAAGAUGCUUAUGACAUUAAUACAUUUAAAAAUUAACAGCCCCUCCCCCACCCUGCUCACUUCCCGUUAACCUCUUUGCAAGUAGUCCUAGGCCUGGCUUCAUGAGUUGUACCUCUCUGGAUGGAAGCCUUCGUGUUCUUGCUGCUUUGAUUGGUAGCUUUUGUUUUUAAUCUAAGAGUAAUUGCAAACAUGCUGUCAUGCAUACCAUGUCCCUUCAUGUCACCAAGCUUAGUACUAAGCAGGACUCUUCUGGCACAGUUCCUCUGGUACCACAAGGGAUGUCUUUAGCUUGCCACUAUGAACCCAAGUCCACAGAUACUUUGCCUCUACAAAAUAGAAUAAAACUUUCACAACAAUAUCACAAUGUGUCCCAAAGGGGAGUAUUUUGGAACAAGGGAAGGAAAAUUAUUUCACAAGAGACUGUAUUGGGUUUUAAAGAAAUGCUAAGUUCUUUGGGGGAUGGUGUAAGUGCCUUGCUUUCUGGGAACAGCAUCUUCUAACAAAAACACCACUGCAAAGGCCUAGAGCCUAAAACUCAGAAAAUUAAUUUUUUUUGUCUUUUCAUUCCAUUUCUACAGAUGAAUUGGUGCCUCCUUCCAACACAAUCCUCUUUUGAAUAUUCUUCCAUGAUAGAAUAAAAAUACAACACAAAGGGAUUCCUUUUAAAAUUAAUAUGUAAUUAUAAGACAAUAUUCAACUAAAUAAAUUCCUAUAAUUUUCCAACAAUAUUAUUUCACUACUGCAAAUAUUUCACUUUAGCAAAAAAAAAAAAAAGCAUUUCUGUGAAAAUUUUCAAAGUUCUUAUUUUCUGAUAGAUUUAUAUUUAGAAAUUUGAAAAUAAUUAUAAUUAGAAAUUACAUUCAUGAAUAUAUACAACAUAUGGGCAUAUAUACAUGAAAAUAUUUUAAUACACGUAUUUAAGUAAGCCUCAUAAUUAACAGUCUUACCUUAUCAUCAUUACUUAAGGCAAUACACAAUUUAAUAAUAAAGUUUAUAGUAAACAUAAUAAAACCUAUGAUGUUUGAUUUUACAUAUGAGGCUACUCUUUUUUAAAGAUUCUUUUUCACUCUUGCUCUCUUGCCUUCUUGCUCCAGCUCUGUCCCCUCGCCCCUUCCUCCCCUGCCAUUUCCUCCCUCCCCCUACCCCACAUUGGUUCAUGGCCUCUACUCUUCUACUCUGAGCAAGAUGGCUCACCUAGUAAAAGCUAUUGCUGGGCAAACCUGAGAAUCUGGGUUCACGCCCUGGAUCACACAGUCACAGAGAUGAACCCAUGCCCAAAAUUGUCCUCUGACUUCUACACAUGUGCAGGAGCACACGCAUGCCUGCACUGACACAUACAUGUCUCAUACAUAUGCCUGUUUUGUAUAGGUGUACAUGCAUGUCUAUAAAACACAAAAGAAAUGAGACAACGCAGACCGUCUAGACCCUAAUCACUUGAAAGUUUCUUUUUAAAAGUCUCCUGAGACCCUUCCCAACUAAAAGUCCAUUAAAAGCAAAUAAAAUUGACUAUGCCAUGAAUAAAACCAGAAAAGCCACAGACCCGCCUCACCGUUCCGAGAAGUAGCGCAGAACGUUAAAAUGCAGUGACUGAACAAUGACUUUGCUUUCUCCAGAUUUUUGGUAUAAAGUUCAAAAGGCAAGCUCUCUCUUCCCACAGAGUCUGCUAAUUAAUAACAAUCAUGCAAGGAGGUCAGACAGUCCAAAUAUAAGUACAAAUUCUGUAGAGGGGAAAAAUUUUAAAUUCCAAGUCAAAUGAGAAAUUAUAAAUCAGAAUGGCCCUGCCGAUUCUCAGAGUAUUUCUGCAUAAUAAAAAGUGUGGUUUCACUGGAUGUGAAAUAAUGAUGUGCACACGCUAAUUCUGUUCUCGAUUAGGGUCUAGACGCAGACCUAACAGGGCUUUCUAAGUCUAGGUAGCAUUUGAUCCAUUAUCCUAUCAACGUUCCUUAAGCAGGAACUCUCAAGGACUCUUGGCAACUGAUCAUUUUACAAAAACAUCCCUCUUUCUCGGGAUCUGCACGUCUAACCAUACUGCGCUUGGGAUAGGAGAGAAGGUCUUCUGAAAUCACCCUUGACAAUCAAUCCCCUUCCAAGUGAGCAUCCCAUGAACACAGACGGCUACAAACGGCAGUGAGCGGCAGCCACCUAAACAAAACAAUGGAGGCUUUCGAAACGUUCUUUGGGCGCAUGCGUCUGAGCACCCUUCACUUCUAUGGGUGUGAAAAGGACAGCCUUCGAUGUUUUCUGUGAAAACAGGAAACACAAAAAUUCUGCAUGAUUCACCUCUCUUAGAGCCAGUGAGACAGCUCAGUAGGUGAGAAUGCUUGACACUAUGCCUGGUGACCUGAGGCCACUCCCCAGGAUACACAUAGUGGGAGAAGAAAAACAACCUCCACAAGUUGUCCUCUGACCAACACACGUAUGCUGUGGCACAUGUGCAUGUACAUACAUACAUACAACAAACAAUGUAAAAAAUCUAUGAUCGGGGGCUGGUGAGAUGGCUCAGCGGGUAAGAGCACUGACUGCUCUUCCAAAGGUCCUGAGUUCAAAUCCCAGCAGUCACAUGGUGGCUCACAACCAUCUGCAAUGAGAUCCGAUGCCCUCUUCUGGUGUGUCUGAAGACAGCUACAGUGUACUUACAUAUAACAAUAAAUAAAUCUAAAAAAAAAAAUUUACGAUCACUUAACAUGUAAGUUAGUUCUCCAGCAACUGUACAGGGAGAUAUAUAAGUAAUAACACAUUAGCAUAGCAUACAGAAGCCACAAGUAACCUACGGCCUAAAGUCUGUGCCCUCCUCUGGCGCUCCCAUUCAAGCCUUGCAUCAGAUGACCUAAGAAGCAUAAUAAAUGCAGGUAUGAGCCACAAGCCCCUGAGAAAUCAGUGGACCAGAAAGAGACAGAAAGCACCAUUACAGUAGAAGCAUCAACAACCAAACAGCAGCCAUUCCCUAAAUAUCAACGUAAGCAUCAUUUAUAUUACUGUCAACAUGGUAGUCAAUAUCUAUGUAUUAUUGAUUCUUAUGUCAGAUUGUUCUCCGCAUGCUUUCAGCACGGGAAUUCUACACAGAUGGGCAUGGGCGACUGCGCAUGCCAGUCUGCUGGACUUCUUGUUUCACCUCAUGAAACGCAGGUUCCUGCUGCAGCAGCCAUGAAUGUGGCAAGGGAACUUUCAGAGCACAGCCCAUUUGGUUUGUGCGUGGUUCCACUCUUAGAAACACUAGCUCGUCACAAAGGACUGCACCCAGGCAGAAGCCAGCUACCUAAGGACAGCUAGAACAUGCACAGCCCAAGCCUCAGGCACCCACCAGCCACCUAAGGUUCCCACAUGUGGUCGGCCACGCCCAUCCACACCUGGUGUUCUAACUUUCCAUGUAAUUUCUGAUAGCCCAUUGUCCCCUAAUUGACAAUAACCCACAAGUUCCAACACUUCAAGGCACAGGCUCAUUAUACAUGGCAGGCGAUAAAACAAGAGGAGCACACUCGCUUAUUGUAUUAUUUAUUUCUUAACUCACUUACUUAAAAUACUCAUACAAUUUUCUAAGCACUGUGACCAAACCCUAUAAGCACUGUGGGAUUUUCAUAGGAUGUGUUUUUUAGAGCAACAUGUAAUAAUGUUUGUGACCAAAGCCAACUACAUAUAUGAAUAUGUGUGGCCUAUCCAGGGAGAUUAAAUUAUGACUCAUCUUUUAUCAUAUUUAAGUGAUCACCAAGGUACCAUCAUUUUUUUAAGGAUUUCAAUUUCUAGUGUUCAUAGUUACUAAGAAUACUUACAGGUUAGCUAUGUGGAAAAUUUACUUGUGAGAAAUCCCCUAAUAAUGUUAAGACAGAUGAGGUGUUGAUGAGCCGUCAACACUUCAUUCUGAGCAAAGCACUAUGAAAAUGGCAUUGCAGACUCCAGCUGACCACACUGCUCGGCUGUGAUCACUAGGAAGGAGAGCCAAAAAGGCCAAAAGGGCUAAGUUCUCAUUCCUCAAAAAUCAAUACACACUUUUAAAGAAUGAAUUUUCUUUAAAAGUUUUCAAAACACACACAAAAGGAUAUAUACGAAAAGAAGUUUUAAAAUAAUUUUUAAAUUUAAAUAAACAAAAAAUUACAUAACAUUUUAAACAAGUUAAAAAUGUAAAUAUACAAAAAAGAAGAACUUUUAAAAAUACGUAAACUGCAGACUGAGGUGGGAAAAUAUCUUAAGGAAAAGCAAGCAAGAAAAAACACACUCAAAAAAUCAUCCCCAUGUUGCUUAAAGUAUUAUGCCUAGAAAAAAAAAUCAGAAGGAAAAAAUAUCACAUCUGAAAACAUGCUGGCUACAGAGAGCAGAACUGGAACAAAGUGACUUUUAUUUUCUUCAAAUUUGGGGGAAAUUCUCCUUUGACGCCCAUUUUUAUGUUACCCGUGAGAGCAGCCAUGACCAAGGAGCACAGAGAGCUUCCUUGUCGUGGAAAGUCAAGCUCCCCACCCAGCUGGGAGGCCAGACCCUUCCAAGCCUUUUCUACUUCACUGUCAAAGUCAAAUAUAGUCCCAACAGGGGUGUUUAAAGUGCAUAAAGCCUCUACAGAGGCCGAAACGUAAUCUGCUUUUACUGGCUACGACAGUCAGGGACUUGGAAAAGUCCAGAUGAAGGAUUCUUUUUCAGCUUGGAUAUUACUAUUUACCAUACCCAAGCUGUCUGAGUGCCCAAAAUUUUGUCCUGAAUAAAGACAUUGUCUUCUGGAUAGACUGCCUUCAAAUAAGGUCAAGAUGAGACAGACACAGGCAAGGAAGGAUGGAGGGAGGCAAACCUAAAGCUUUAAGCAGGAGAAAAGAGAGGUUGGUCACUAUAACUAACUCAUUACAACAAGUUCCGAGGAACUUGGCUACAUUGACAUUUUCUCCACAAAAAUUUUGAAACAUUUUGGAAACAGUCUCAACUUGAACUCAAGACCUUCCAGCUUCAGGUUCUCAGAUUCCGGGAUGUGCUUGUCCCACCACAUUCGGCUAAUGCCAAAAUAAUCCAUAUGCCCUAGACAGUGACCUUUUAGUCAUGAGUGUGGAAGCUUAAUCCCACAUCACGCCCUCAUUGUAACAACUAUCUGGGGCAUCUGCCACGCCUGUGGUGACUUCCCUCACCUGUGACUGCAUCAUUUUUCUAGCUCUCCUGUUUGGGGGGGGGGGGGGGAAUACUUGGUCCCAGGCAGUUCUUUCACAGUGACUCUUCAUCCUUAAGAAAGUGCUGAUGAUUAAGAGGUAGUAGCCACACCACACCCCCAGGCUAGGGAAUCCCUUUAAGUUAGGAGGUAGCAGCUGGGAGGGGCAGAGCCAUGGCACUCGGGAACUCACAAUGACCCUGGUUACCAGCACCGACUAAGCCAGUCAAAAUUCCAGCGCUGACAGGCAGAGGGCUCACGAGGCCCCGCCCCUGGCUGAGAAGCUACAGAGGAAGGGUGGUCAGUUUUCUUCAGUAAGGUAGGAACUGGUAAGUUGCCCACGCUCCAGAAGAUAAGCCUACGCUACACUCAUUGCAAAGAGCCCUGGUUAAACGUGAAUGGCCGUGGACAGAGACAGAGAGAUGUGAGCGUAGACAGCGCACUGGAAGGGGAGAGGCAUCAAGAGUUGCCUCACAAGGGACGGGGCGGAUAAAGGAAGGCAGCUGGGAGAGACUAAAAAACACAGGCAAAACUGUCAAAGAAUACACUUGAAAAAUAUUUUUUAAAGAUAUUGAUUGUGUUUGGUGUUUUUUUGUUUUGUUUUGUUUUUACAAACUUACAGAGCAUUUUUAAAGGGCGCUUACAUAAUUAAUAAUCAAGUCCUUGCUGUGGAAAGCAUAUAGCAGGCAUUCCUUGCUUUGUUUUAAAACGAACAUAAAACCUUUAUAUUUCAGACUUUUGUUUUUAAAAGUAUUUUUCAAGGAUUCCUCUGUUGAAUUAUUGGCUUCAUGUUUAGUUUAUGUUAAAAAAAAGAGUUGUAAAGCACAUAUUUUGAUUAUACUAUUACAUUUUUAAAAGAAAUUUGAGUUCCAGAAAUAUCAGUCCAUCCAAGGUCAAGGUUUUCCUCGGAGACGUUAUCACAACAAAUGCAUGCUGAUUGCUUUGGGAAAUGAUUCCAAAGUUUCCUAGCUUUCAUAUUUCAAAAGUUGCUGCCUAAAAUACUGCCCAUAUGCACCUUUGAUGACUAAUGAUCGAAUACGCUCAUCAACAAGCAAAUCCACAGACUCCAUCUUAUCACGAGGGGUCAGAAUAAAAGCUGGAAACUUUUAUCGUUUAAAGAAGAGACACUGAAAUACGCACCCAUCUAUCCGGGCCUGACACUGACUGAAAAUACUAACCAUUUCCAUCCCGAGAGUCAGCAUGUGUGAUGCUCAAGAGUAAAACAUCUUCUUGCUGCUACUGAAUAUAAAAAAGGGCAACCGAGUUUUAAUCUGUCUGGAAAACAAGAAGUAAGUAUUUCCUCGGGCUCUUUGGUGACAUCCUGGGCAGAAUUCCAGUGUGCUCUCAAUUGGUCUCUGGCAAGAGCCCAUUCUCCCUUAAGCAUCCUUCUGCUACCUCUGGUGCACAGUCCCAAGCCUCUGCUCUGCAUGGCCUUCUUCAUCUUUUCCUACCAUUGACUCCCAAAGCCACAACGGAAAUGAUCUACCAGCGAGUGAUGGAGAGGACCUAAACAAAUGAUUAAUGACCUUGGACCAGCUGACAUAAAUCUAUUUAAAAAAAAAAAAAAAAAAGUCCAGCCACCCUGAUCUUGAUUUAAGCAUUUAGCUCUCUAGGGAAUUAAAAACAAAAAAAUAGCUGGGUCUAAGUCAAGAAUAAGAAAAGCACAACAGGGCUGCAGAGAUGGUUCAGCCGUUAAAGGUUAGGCUCACAACCAAAAAUAUAAGAAAAGCACAAUGUACGUCUAGAAUAGCUCACUAUACCAGCAAGAAGAAGGACGCUCCAACAGCGUGCAGAUGUGACUAAAUUACACUGGAGCUGGUUGGAAGGGGCACUUCCUGGCCAAAUGCAGGACAGCUUGAACAAUGUAAAAGAGUAAUAUUGGACCAGCAAGAUGGCUCAAGAGGGAAAGGCACUGACACCCUGAGAUUGAGUCCCAGAACCCCCAUAAGGGUAGAAGGAGAAAAAUGACUGCAUAAAAUUGUUAUCUGUCCUACACACAGUCACAGACAGACACACACACACAUAAACACACACACAUACACAUGGUACUGAUGAAUUAUAAUGCAUCAACACACACCACACACACACACACACACAGACAUACACACACACAAUAAAAUCCCCAUCUUGUCACCAGCAACGCAGCAUGUGAUUAGGCAGCCAAGGAUCAUGAAUAAAUGCUAAAACUGUUAGAGAAAGACUACUCAGAACACAGUUCUCACAGUCCAAAGAACCACUCCACAAGGUUGCCUAUCUCUUUCCCAGGGGAAAUGUGUCCCUACGAUGGAGACCUCUGGAAGAUCACCUCAUCCAAGUGAGGCUUGGCAUAAUCAAUCAGAAGAUCAACGCUGUACCAAUGUGUUUAUUUACCUGAAAUCUUAAGGUAACAGUGAAACAAUAAGACUGUGACUCCUUCUAUCAGAUGAAUGUACUUCCUCAUGCUGCGACCCUUUAAUACAAUUCCUCAUGCUAUAGUGACCCCUAACCAUAGAAUUAAUUCAUUGCUACUUCAUAACUGUAAUUUUGCUACUGUUACAGAUCAUAAAGUAAAUAUCUGUGUUUUCCAAUGGUCUUAGGUGACCACUAAUGGUCAGGUGAAAGGGCCACCUGACCCCCAAAGGGGUCACAGACAAUAAAAACUAAACAAACUUAGGGUGACUACUCUAGAUUAAAGGAAACUAAAGAGACAACAUGCAAUGAAGGCUCGUGGCUGUGUCCUGAUAUGGAUAAGGUGUUAGAAGCCUUAAUGAGAUAAUUAGAGAGAUUUUAAUAGGUGUUCAAGUAUUAUCUAUUAGUAGUGAUGAGGUAUUAUGGGUCACUUGGGAGAAUAGCUUCCUGCAUGGGUGAUAUAGAUCAAAGUUUUGAAGGCUAGAGGGCCAUGACCUCUACAACUAAUUCAGUCCUUCAGAAUCCGUCUCUGACAUUUUGAAUAUAUAUGAGGAGAAAGAGAUGUGAAAGAGAUACUGACAGAGAUACCAAAAAAAUGAGAAGGAAAUACAAAGUAAAUUUGACAAAAUAUUAGCAUACUAUGUGGCAGGUUAGUUGCAACCUAUAAAAGCCAGUAACCAUGGUAACUGUACUGUAUCCCCACACUGCAUAAAGUAAGAUUAUAAUGGAGGUCAUGGAUGAAAGGAAACUGACAUAAACAGACGUGUGAUGUCUCCUGUGUUAGAGCAAUUACUCCUUUUUUAAAAAAAAAAAAAUCUUAACUCUGUUCUGAUGCAAUAGUUGAACCCUGUGGAAGAAAAGAAAUUCAAGGGAAAAAAAAAAAAACAGCAGAUGAAAAUCAGUCACAGAAUACCUCAGUUUAACCUCAGUUUAUCUCCACACAUGAUGAAGCGUCAGCAAGCCUUAAGAUCUUAAAAAUUCUUCAUUCUUGUAAAUGAGCUAAAUACCUAAUAAAAAAUUAAAAAAAAAAUUCUUCAUUCUGUACUCUUUUUGUGGUGAAUCCUGUAUAUACAUGGACACUUGCAAUAAACCUUCUAAAGAGUCCUAUCCUAUAGGGAUUGGACACACCUAGCCAUGGAAGGCAGGCAACUUCACUCUGUGCCCACCCUUGAAUGAGCAUGGAAUAAGGGUGAGCACCCACAAAACACCUGGUGUAAGCAAACAUGUACCCCAGUUCCACAGCUUCGAGUAGUUAUUUAGAACCCAGCAUACCUGAAACAGAAUUUAUCCCACCAGACAAGAUGCCUGUUUUCCUCGAUCCCUAGCCAAUCUGACCUCAAAACUGCAGCAUCUCCCUCCAUUCUCUUCCCAGUGAUUCAUCUCGUCCACCUCCUCUGCACAUAGGCUAUUCAGCAUCAAACAUCCCAGAUCAUUUUCUUCAGUAUCUUCCCAUCUUUGGAACCUCUGGAAGGCCUUUGCCACACAGCAGUGACUGCACACUCCCCAAAAACCUAAAUGUGUUUGUUAUGCUGCCCCACUUUAAAAAGAAAAGCACCAUAAUUUUGUAAAAUAAAGUUUGUUAUCAUUUUCUACCUAUCCCAGAAGAGAGAGGAUCAGUCAGUAACUUGGAAAUAAGCUUGUUCAAGGACACUGAAUUAUGGGGCUGGUAUUCAGCCCAUGAUCUUCUGCUUACAUCCUCUCACCGACACGUGUUGUAUUGUUUAUACUUUAUUACAGUCUUGUGUCCUUACACUCAGCACAAGGUCUUCCAGAAGGAAAAAGGCAGGGGAUGCAUCCGACCCAUCUCCGUGCUCUCUCAGAACCUAGCGGCAGUAAUAACUCAGGCGCAUUGAUUUCUGCUUUGAGGUGUCACCCAGAGACCAUCUUUCUUUCUGCUCUUCAUCCUCGCUCAGCCAAUAGUCUCCUUCCUCUUUGCUCUUCACACAUUUCUACUGCAGUAUAUGUUGAGUGGCUGGCCCUGGCUGUGGGGCACGUAGUAGGCACUUUAAAAUGUUUAUGAAUGAAAUGACUGCCUGUGAGACAGCCAAGUUUCUCUCUAAAGCAACUUGUUUGUUUGUUUUAAUGACUUUACUUUUAUCUUCGUCACAUACUGAAGGCUAUCUCAAGAAACAGUGACAGAGAACAUAAAGACCUGAGCACCGAAUUUGGCUGUCGGGGUCUCUAUUCAUCUGCUUCCCUAGGUGAUGAAUUCUAGAGCGGCACCCCCAAAUUUUAGUGACAUGUAAACACAAUGCAGUCAAGUUAGGAUUCAGAGUGUCUGUGUUAGAAUCCAAGACUGCAUUUCUUUUUGUUUGGUUGGGUUUUUUUUUGUUUGUUUGUUUGUUUAUUUUGUUCUGCUUAAAAAAAAAAAAAAAAAGACUGCAUUUCUAACAACCUCCCAAGACGCGCUAAUGCUAUUGAGCAUGACCUGGAGUCUAAGAAGGCAGCACACAGAUUAAAAAAUGUUAAUGUCAUUGUCUCUGGAUUCCUUCUCCUGCUCUUCUAGAAUUUUCAAGUAACUCUGUGAUGACUUGUGCUACCGGAAAUAAAAUAUUUAAACGCUAAACAUACACAUGCCAGAGCAAAAGUUGUAUGUUUGGACAUUUCCAUUCAGCAAGGCAACCUCUUUAUUUAAGGAUGUUAAAAAGACUAAAGAGACAAUAUUGAUAUAUUUAGUAAUUCCCCUCUCUUCUCAUUUGAACAGGGAAAGUAAAAGAAAACAGUAAUUACCCUCAACAUACAGAGUUACGGUGUACAAGCAUUGCUUUUCUUGGGUUCCCUGGGAAGAGAGAGAUAACAGGAGAAUCCACUCAGUUGGAAUACAAUAAGGAAAGACAAUGGAAAUUAAGGACAGAAAAGAAAGCAGCCAGGUGCUAUGCUGAGCCUCUUCCAAGUGAGUCAACAGAACCCCACGGCAGUAGAAACAAAGCGUUCUUCUCACAGUGAGCUGAGUUCUGCAACAAGACUCCAUGGGGUAAAUUAAGGAAGAGUUCGCUGCACAUCUGCACAGAAGAAAGAGGGAAAUGUUCCUAAGAGUGCCACUCCUCUCUGUAGUGCGACCAAAGCAUUUCAUAGGGAACCAUGCCAAAGUGUGCAGCCCUCUCCUGGGGUCCCAGCGGGAGCUUCUUACAGUCUGUGGGUUGUAGCCCAGGCAGCCCCAGCGGGUAGGCAUCCCCCGACAGCUACUCCAGACACUUUCAGAUUUCAGGUGUCUAUGGUCCAGCAAGAGCUAGAGCGGGAAGAAGCCCUAGCGGCUCACAGUAUACCAGGGACUCUUCGAGUUAAAAGCAAAGCACCCUAGUCAGCUCUUAACUCUCUUCUCACUUCCAGGUAAGGCUACCACGCAGGCUUUGUGUAUUCAAACUAGGAUUCCACCCACAGUCCUCUCUUUACUUUAUUUUUUUUUAUUUUUAUUUUAUUUUAAUUUUUUUUUUUUUUUUUGGCCUUAAAGGAAAAUUGUGAAACUCGCUGUGAAACUCCACCCUAAGGAUUAAAACCAAGACUUAUAUAAGGCUUGCAAAUGCAGCGGAGCCACAAAUCAUGUCUGUGGUGUCUACUCAGUGCUAUUCAGGAUGUGGUUUCCUAUCUGGGAAGCUGAGACCCAGGGGACGUGGGCUCAACAGAAAACAAUGCGUCACUGUACACCGAAUUCUGAGUCUGGCUUCUUAUCUAAAAUAAGGAAGCAUUUGUCGAGCUGGGCAAAUGUGAUCACUUGAGAUUUCAAAACCAGCUUCAGGCAUCACCCCGAGAGGGGGAAAGUCAGGAUUCAUUUGGACUUUACCCAUUUAUUUUAUUGAAAUGUGCAUUGUUUUUUGUUUGUUUGUUUGUUUGGUUGGUUGGUUGGUUUUUGUUUUUUUUUUUUUUUUAAAUCACACUACAAUAGAGAGGGGUGGUGCGAGGGACUGCCACAACCUCCCUAUGCUCCGGAGCCUCAGGCCUUCCUUGCUAUCUCACUUGCAAGCUAAACAGACGUCAGUGCUGAUGAGAAAGCACAAUGAGACACACGGUCCUCUGCCCAGAUUCUAAUUUAAAAUUAUUUCAAGAUAUUAAAAGAGAUUAUAUUUGGCGACUCUCACUAUGAACAAAUACUAAGUAGCAUUUAGGAGCCAGCAUUAAUGUUGUUGGGAAUGAUAAUGGUACUGUUUCUAAAUAAUGCUGUUUCUUUAUUUUGGAUGUUGUAGAUGUAUAAUUUGCUUCAAAACAGCUUGUCAAAACUAUAAUGAUGUGUGUGUGUAUACAUAUAUAUAUAUUUAUAUUUAUAUAUUUGUAUUUAGCUCAGGAAAAUAGGGAAGAAUACUAAUAACGAUGGAAAUAAGAUGGGGGUUAUCCAGGGAAACUUCCUUGCUUUUCCUAUGUUGCUGUGUGUCAAGCAAGAGUUGUUUCAUGUGAGGAGAGAAAGCAGGAAGUGAAACAGGGCAGAUCUGACUUGCAGUCAAACCUAGAGACAUGUGAACAGAGCAGGGACUUGCUGUCAGUCCACAAAUUCACAACACAUGUGCCACAGUACUGUAAGAUGUUAAUAACAGGGGGACCGAGGCAGAGAACUACACGGGAACUCUCUGCGCUGCCUCCCUCCUUUCUGUAAACCUAAAAGUCCAUUUCUAAAAGACUAAAAAGAAGGAAUACAGAUCUGCUUGUGGGUUGGCUUUGUUUUUGGAAACAGGGGUCUCACACAGCUAAAAGCAAAUAGGGAAGAAUGGAAACAAUGCAGAGAGGACGACUGGCUGGGAAAUUGCCGCCAUUCUUCUUUGUAUGUCAUGCAACAUCUGUUCCAUGUGAUGGCAGAAGAAGGUUCAGGCCAGCCUUCAACUCCUGAUCCUUUUGCCUGGGACUCUGAGGUGAUGGGGCUAGAGACAAGUUCCACCACACCCGUGGGGUCAAUAUUCUUGCUGUUGUCAUAAAUUACCUCUUAAGACUUAUUACAUAACAGCCAGUCAUUUUAGCAAAUGGUUUGAAUAAGAACACAGGAAUGGGGGGUGUAUCUGGGGAGCACACUUCUCCUAGGCUCUUCGGUGGAAUGUAUGAUGUGGAGUUUCCAAACUUACUCUUCCCUACCUUGCUAACCCUCCCCUCACAGAACCUUCAGACACUUCAGGCUUCAAGCCCUCCAGUGAUUUCACUAGGAUCCUGGUCUCCUCCUCUACAUCAAGUGGCAGAGAGACUAUAGGAACUCUAACAGCAAAAUGAACAGACCACCCCAAGUCCCCAGGUCUGUGAUCUCAAGCCUAGAACUUCAAGAAUCUAAAUGUUAAUAUAUCCCAGAAACUGCCAUGCUCCGGGGAGGCUUGAGGCCGGCUCCAAUGCAGCACAUGCAUGUGUGUACUGCAAACUCAGUCAAAAGCUCAAGGCUGUGGAAUUCACAGGCCAGUGCAGGAGCUACUGCUGUUGUUUUCCUAGAUGGAUGUGAUGUGCUGAUCACAUGACCUUCUAAAUAAUUUUUGUGCCCAUAGGUCAGUGCUCCUGUCAGCUGUCAUCAAAGGAGGUCAUCAAAGGCGCUGUCAUCAAAUCAAAACUAGGAUAUCAGUAUCACCCCCCAUCACAGAGCAGGCAACAUGGUGGAACUGGGUUGUAAAAAGAAAACGGAGAACCAGAGGAGGUGGUGGACUGUGGUGGAACACUGUUUUCUGGGCGUGACAUGGCUGCUGCCUUCUUGAACUCACGGAAGCUGUAGUUAUCCACACAAGAUGAGACCCAACAGUGUCACGUAAUGGAAGAGGGAGAGCCCGUGAGGCAGGAAUAGUUGAUGAGGGAGGGAGAGAGAUUUCAGUAUAGCCACUGCCUAUAGAUCCUAUAACAACUCUAAUAAAUUCAUGUUGCCAUUUUAUAAGAAAGAGAGAGAGAGAGAGAGAGAGAGAGAGAGAAAUAGAGAGAAAGAAAGAAGAGGGGAGGGGAGGGGAGGGGAGGGGAGGGGAGGGGAGGGGAGAGGAGAGGAGAGGAGAGGAGAGGAGAGGAGAGGAGAGGAGAGGAGAGGAGAGGAGAGGAGAGGAGAGGAGAGGAGGAGAGGAGAGAGGGGUGCGCAUGCUGUGAAUGAAGAAGGAAUGAAUCAACAAGAGGAGCAAGAGAAAAGAAAGGGUAACAGGAAAUAAAUACAAUCAAAAUAUUUUAUAGACACGUGUGAAAUGCUAAUGAACUCAGUGUUACAUGUAAUUAGUUUAUGGUAUUGGAAAACACCUUCUUUCUUUUUAAAAGAAAGGCAAUUCGGUCCUUCAGAUGUCCUGUCCCAACAUCCUUCUCUCUCUGUCUGUCUGUCUAUCUGUCUGUCUGUCUGUCUGUCUGCAGGAUAUUAUUCUCUGGAAGAUUUCAGUGAGAUCCCUAGGCUUCCUCCUAGAAUGAGCUUCCUAGGUGAGGCUAGCCUAAUAAAAUCACUGUGAUUGACAGCGAUUCUUCCUGAGACCAAAAUCCUGGGAACUGAGAGCUGAGCCACAAAAACACACUCAUAUUUCCCAUGAGAUGCCAUUUGAAAAUGCAAAUGACCAAGGGAAAUAAAAACACUGGAGCAUUUCCUGUGUGGGGGAGGGGGGCUCAUAAAAGCAUGGAUAUGAGUGGGGAAGAACUGAGCCCUGUGAACUGGAGUCAGCCACAGAUCCCACUCAGCCCCGGCUGCUGUCCUUGCCUCCUCUCGGAUCCUUUGAGGCCUGGCUGCAAGUCGGCUGUGGUUUGUUCUCUCCAACCACAAAGACCGGAUCCCUCUCCAUAAUGUCUGCCGUCCACAUAGUCUUUGAGUUCCGACGGGGUUGCAUGCUAAGCUCAGCAUGCUAGGCUGAGGAUACAUUUAACUGGGUGUCAGGGCUUAGCCAACACCCAUGCUGUGGUAUAUAUGGGGCACAUCCUCUUGUGCGUAGCUGGGAGCUGCAACUCCCUGAUGCUCAGCAGCAUUAUGUGAGAGUAUCCCAGGAUACAGUGCUCCAGGGCAAAGAUCCAAAUUCAAAACUUAAUGUACAGUUUGCAUAGAAUGCAUAUUUUUUUUGUACUACGGUAAAAUUAAAACAAAGCAAACCCAAAAAACCUAUUGAGCUGAAUUACUGUAGUCAGGGACCCGUUGUGUUCACUGCAUCCCUGGGUCUUGGUUCUCUGCUCAGGCCACACACAGUUCAUAUAAUCCAUCUAGAACAGAAGUUUGUAAAUCAGCCCUCUAAGCUAACCCCAGUGCCACAGGUAUGGUAGGAGGAGGUUCCAUAGACCUUAAGGCUCACCACCACAUGGAUACCCUGUGAGUCUGACCCACAGACAAAAAUAAAAACAAUUACAACAGAAACAUACACCACUCUGACUCCACAAAACUUACGGGAAACUCAACAGGGGACUCUUUCCCUUGGCUCUAAAGGAGCACAGAUCAUGUUUACGAUUCCUACCAUGACUAGUAAACACAGAAAAAGAGAAAGAGGGUUUUUUUUUACCAGAGGUCUGUAAGCAGGCCGCCAAAUUGGGGCCCAAACCAAUAUGACAAUGUGCCAUAGUUCCCGCUUUAUGGACACAUUUCAGAAGAGGUGGGAAGUGAGUUUUGCCAUCCAACCAAUUACGUUCUUUCAAAGGCACUAUACUAUCAUCUACAGAAGAAGGCCUGAAGUUGGCUCUGGUACGUUCCCUUCUGCAAACUCACAGGCUAAACUAAUUGUUUGGUUACUCAAAUCUUCUAAUCUUGAGAUCUAAUGGAAAAUCAAGUAUGUUCAAAAGAUCAAAGGAUUAAAAAAAAAAAAAAAAGCCUCAGCUCUAGCUCUAGUACAAACUGUAAAGCUGCCAUCUAUUUUCAGAAAUUGGCUAAACUGGGUGCUGACUGAGCAGCACAGUCCAUCACAGACAUUGUCCAGAGAGUCAGUUUCCUGAACAGGAUCUCCAUGUCUUGGGAAUUUUACUAUGGCCAGGGGCAAAACACACCAAAGCCACUUGGAUUGAAGUAGCUAAAAGUCAGCCCUUGCUCUGUUGCUUUGUAACCAGAAAAGCCAAGCCCAACACAGGUUUUAGAUUUCUCGCUCACCAGCAGUGUUGUUCCUUCUGUGCCCGCCAUAAAAGGCACUGUGUUUCAAAGAGAGGAGUGUAACUCUACCGUCGGUAACACAUGUGUUCUGAAUUAAUCAGGAAUGAAAGUGGGCUAUG